UCGUAUAACGGAGGUGCCGAGGCUGUCGCUAAUAUUUUUUGUGCACGCCUCGGUGCUCUCUCAUAAUCCAUCUCACACCCUUUUGUGCAUCACGGCGUGGGCACCCUCUUUUAGAGAGUGUUUGCGCUUUUACACACACCCACCGCAUGUGUAGAAUGUCUUACUAUCUGCGAUAACACGCAAUCAAUA
rnacentral:misc_RNA from 1 species